ACGGCGAGUGAACAGGGAAAAGCCCAGCACCGAAGCCUGUGGCCAGUUGGCUACUAGGCAAUGUGGUGUUCGGGUCAUCCCGCGGAGGUACUGCUCCACUCCAAGUCCAGCAAUGAGAACGGUAGUGCUGACAUGGCCCAAAGAGGGUGAAAGGCCCGUUGGGGUGGAGGUGCAGGAAUGCCGGUAUCUCUCUGGGUAGACCCUGGAGUCGGGUUGUUUGAGAAUGCAGCCCAAAGUGGGUGGUAAACUCCAUCCAAGGCUAAAUACUGACACGAGUCCGAUAGCAAACAAGUACCGUGAGGGAAAGUUGAAAAGUACUUUGAAGAGAGAGUAAACAGUGCGUGAAACCGCUCAGAGGUAAACGGGUGGAGUUGAACUGUGAACUCUGCGGAUUUAGCUGGCGAGCUUGGUUUGGGCUUGGUCAAAUUGGCUGGUACUUGGAGUCUGCGUAGAAGCAGGUCCUCACCUUUCGGUGUGGAUGCGCGAUGCACUUAUCAAGUGUUGUGCGCUCCUUGUUCAUCCGGGCCGGCUUGUCAGUGCAUUUUCGCAGAGUGGUCACCACGACCGGCAUGGCUGUCUGGCUGUUGCGGUUAAACCGUCCUUGCAUCUUCCAUGUGAUUAUGUCUGGGCGGGAUGGCAGGUAGCUCGUCGGCUUGCUUGCGGUUCUCCGUGGGCGUUAGGUCUUCGAGUGUAAUCAGCUGACCGCAUCGGUUCUGUGCAGUAUGUCGGAGACGGCGGCUUUUGGUGUGUGCAGGCGUGCCAGCUGUUUGACGUUUCCGGGUUUGGUUGUCAUGUUGCUUGUGUGUGCAGGCCUGACGGCAGCUCGGGUAUGUUCGAUCGGCGGUUGCGUUUGCUUCACGAAAUCCGGGGCCAACAGUCUGUGGUGUUGCGGUAGACUUUCCACCUGACCCGUCUUGAAACACGGACCAAGGAGAGUAACAUGUGCGCGAGUCAUUGGGCGUAACGAAACCCAAAGGCGAAGUGAAAGUAAAUGUUCGGCUCGUCCGGACUGAGGUGAGAUCCUGUCGUUUCUCAUGCGUGGUAUCACCAAGCAUCGAGCGGCAGGCGCAUCACCGGCCCGUCCCAUGGUGUGGUGACAUUCUUCGGAUUGUUCAUCACCGGGGCGGAGCAUGAGCGCACAUGUUGAGACCCGAAAGAUGGUGAACUAUGCUUGCGCAGGUUGAAGCCAGAGGAAACUCUGGUGGAGGACCGCAGCGAUUCUGACGUGCAAAUCGAUCGUCAGACGUGAGUA
rnacentral:rRNA from 1 species